AAUCAAAUACGCCAUUUGCACUGGUCGUCCCAGAAGAAAAAGAACAUCGGGCUCCGUGCAGAUGUUUUUGCACCAAUUUUGACGUGCAAAACAUCUACGUUCCCACAAGGAGUUUGACGCCAAUGGCAGAUAGAUAGAUAGAAGUGUAGUGAUAUUUGAUAUAGUGGAUUGAUCAUCAGGGGAGGUAGCUAGAGUCGUAGAUUGGGACUAGGGCAUAACUUGCCAACAACAAAAAAAGAGAACAUUUGAGUAUGUGUAAAAGGAAAGCAGAAUGUCUUAGAGACAAAUAACUACAGAAUUGAAGAGAUGCAGGCCUUUGUUCUACAUGGUGAAAGAGGGAAUUAUAGUGGAUUUUUGGAUUUACCAGUGAAACCUGUGAAGAAGAGUUAGUGAAGCAGAAUAGUUACAGAUCAUAAGAAAUGCAGGUCUUUGUUCAGCAUGGUGUAUAUGGAAAACAUAGUGGAUGGCCAGCCUAGAAAAUAUUUAAUGAAGAAAUAUAUUAGGCAGAGCUAUCAGCAGUAUAACAGACACAGCAAGAAGUACACUUUGUUUUGCACAGAUUUGUGUUCCACAAGUAUGGCCAUGAAGGGAUUUUCAUAGAAAAAACUCUCACCCAGGUGUUCCUCUUACACAAGCAUGAAGAAAAGGGAGUUGCUGGAGGUAUUGCUAUGUUCUUGUUGCCCAGCUAGACAAAUUACAAGUAAGCCAAGUAGUUAUGAAUGUCGCCAUGGUUACAGAGUUCCGUCAGCAGCAAGCACAUACACGAUAUUUCCAUCAGGCACAUACCAGGACAGGACCCUUCAACACAUGUAUGUUUGGAUACUAUUGCAACAACUCUCAGACUGAUGGAUCCAUUAUUAACUAUACCACACUGCCCAUUGAAACCAGAGAUUACAUUUAUUGGAGAUAAUUUGACGAAGACAGUUGUAGAGUUGUUACAUGAGACAAUUAGGGAGAGUGAGUUUACAUUUUGCUGGAACCUUGUUACAGAUUUGCAGUAUCAGACAGUAUCCUAGGAAACCCACAGCCAUUCUAGAUAUAGGACCAACACAAUCAGACAAGUCGGCAAGAUCUUUCUUUCAAGAGUGGCGACAUUCUGCCCAAGAUUCAAGUCUGGAGAUUCCAUUGGCUGAUCUUAGAAUCUUUUUUUUUUUUUUGGAUUAAAGUCUAAAAAUGACAUUGACUUAAGACUACAUGUAUACUGUUUUCAGUCAAAGGCUUUUUAUGAACAUAUUAAGAUCUGGAAAAUAACUAUAUUGGAGACAAGUUUGUAUGACAAAAUGAAAGAAAGAAAACGGUUUUUAUGUUACAAAGAUUUUUUUAAAUACUUUUGAAGAGACAUUAUCAAAGAGGAUACUACACGAGUUCCUUUUCAUAUUGAAGAUAUUAAACGAGAUGAAUAAAACAAUAAAAUGCAAGGCUCUGCCGAGCAUUUUAUUAAUUUCAUUCA
rnacentral:misc_RNA from 1 species